rnacentral:rRNA from 1 species
GGCUCAGAUUGAACGCUGGCGGCAGGCCUAACACAUGCAAGUCGAACGGUAACAGGAAGAAGCUUGCUUCUUUGCUGACGAGUGGCGGACGGGUGAGUAAUGUCUGGGAAACUGCCUGAUGGAGGGGGAUAACUACUGGAAACGGUAGCUAAUACCGCAUAACGUCGCAAGACCAAAGAGGGGGACCUUCGGGCCUCUUGCCAUCGGAUGUGCCCAGAUGGGAUUAGCUUGUUGGUGGGGUAACGGCUCACCAAGGCGACGAUCCCUAGCUGGUCUGAGAGGAUGACCAGCCACACUGGAACUGAGACACGGUCCAGACUCCUACGGGAGGCACAGUGGGGAAUAUUGCACAAUGGGCGCAAGCCUGAUGCAGCCAUGCCGCGUGUAUGAAGAAGCCUUCGGGUUGUAAAGUACUUUCAGCGGGGAGGAAGGGAGUAAAGUUAAUACCUUUGCUCAUUGACGUUACCCGCAGAAGAAGCACCGGCUAACUCCGUGCCAGCAGCCGCGGUAAUACGGAGGGUGCAAGCGUUAAUCGGAAUUACUGGGCGUAAAGCGCACGCAGGCGGUUUGUUAAGUCAGAUGUGAAAUCCCCGGGCUCAACCUGGGAACUGCAUCUGAUACUGCAAGCUUGAGUCUCGUAGAGGGGGGUAGAAUUCCAGGUGUAGCGGUGAAAUGCGUAGAGAUCUGGAGGAAUACCGGUGGCGAAGGCGGCCCCCUGACGAAGAC